UUUGAGUUAGUUUAAAUAAAAUGUUAGGAUGUGGGCCUAAAGAAGAGAUUAGUUCUUACUUAAUA
rnacentral:tRNA from 2 species